AAUGAACUAGCCCUUGGUGCGUAAAAAUAGGUUCUUCCUUACCAGUCUCUGCCGUUGGAUCUGUGAGUUAAACGCUGCCAAAGCACAGAAAAGCCAUCAAAUCAAAUCCAAGCAUCCAUUUUUCCGCCAAAUACAAACUCCUCCUUUCUAUAAACCACUGAACAAAUACAUAUAUUGUGUUUGAUCAUUCCUUUUUCAGUACACACAUAAAAGGAAGUUAGGGUUGUGAUCAUGGCCGAAGCAGGGAGUCCAGGAGGAGGGCAGGACAGUGGUGGGAGUCCACAGUCCAACUUGAGAGAACAGGACAGGUAUUUACCCAUAGCUAAUAUUGGACGCAUUAUGAAGAAAGCAUUACCUGCUAAUGGAAAGAUCGCUAAAGACUCUAAAGACACUGUUCAAGAAUGUGUUUCUGAAUUCAUCAGUUUCAUCACUAGCGAAGCUAGUGACAAGUGUCAAAAAGAGAAGAGAAAGACGAUCAAUGGAGAGGAUUUACUAUCCGCCCUGGCUACCUUAGGAUUUGAGGACUACAUUGACCCGCUCAAGGUCUAUUUGACUAGGUACAGAGAGAUGCCAAGGGAUCUGCAAGGGUUGGAGAUGCAUCUGUUAGAAAAGAUAUAGCUGGAAGUCAGCUUGGGCCGAAUACUCAGUUUGUCUAUGACGGUUCUUUUGCACAAGGCUUAGACUAUGGAAAUUCCCAAAUAUGAAUUUUAACCUUCAGAACUCGGGGAUGAUGUGGCCGCCGUUCUACCCUUACUUAAAUACUGGACUUAGUUCGCUCAGCACAAGGUUCGAACUUGUGACCUAAGACAUAAGUCCCUCAACCUUUGCUAAUUGAGCUACCCCCGGUGGCAGAAACUUAACAACUCCUAUUAUUUCUGUUAUCCUUUGAAAUUUACUGGACAUCGAGAGAUGAAGGUGAAAUAAAAGAGCUAGUUGAAGGUAAAUACAGAUUCUUCAUGGUAUUCCUUGAGGGGUCGUUUGGUUGCUUGUUAGGAAGUGAACUAUUUAUGUAUUAAAAUCAGCAUAACUAAUACAUGUUUGGUAGCAUUUUAGUUGCUAUGUAUGAAAUUCAGUGCAUCAUGUACGGUGCUUGGUUACCAGUUUAUAAUCCCGCAUAACUAAAACGUAUAUGGGUUAUGAGUAAAUUUAUGUAUCGCUUUAUGCAGGGUAGAAGAUGGAAUAACUAAUACAUGAAUUAGUAAUACAUGAUUACUAAACCCUGCAUUACUGAAACCUGCAUAACUCUAACCAACAAUCAAACGACCUUUAAGUUCAUUUCGUUGUUUUGUUUUGCAUGGUUGUUGAAAGAUAGGGGAAAGUUUGUGCUCAGAUAAGUAAAGAUGGAUUAUGUUAAUUUUCAUGAAAUGAUAUGUCCACAAUUUCCUCCUUGUUGUAGAACACAAUAAAAGGAUAUGAGACAUUUUAUUUUGAGGGACAGAAUGUAUCUAGCAAUCAUCUUUGUAUUAAAAAUAUUAGUUUGAUCCACAGAGUUGAUGAAGCGCGAAUAAAAUACUUGAGAGAAACACGGUUGUGCAAUUUUUUGUGUAUAACAUUGGAAGCCUUAUUCUAAUAAUUAAUUAAAAAAAGGUCUAAUUUUAUUUUAUGGAUAUAUGCUCGACUUGAUGUUUAAAAUGCCAAGUUACUUUCUGAUAAAAAACAAAAAUAAAUAAAUAAAUGCCAGGUUACUUUCAGACUACCUGUGUACCAGUGGUGUUGUAUUUCCUUAUUUAUUUAUUUAUUUAUUUAGUUUAUGCUUCAAGCACCCAGUGGUCAGAACUCACUGGCCUGACUAAUCCGGUAGUAAGCUCUCGAUGGGUUUUAUCGCUCCCUACCGGAGAGGACUCCGCUCCCCAGGCUUAAAUUGUUAAGGGUGAAGGAACUUUUACCGUUCCACCACAUCCUUCGAUGGUUUGUUGUACUUCAAUAAUAGGAGGGAGUAAGGUAUAACAUAUACAAUUUUCAUAAUAUGGAAGUGCUCUCAAUUGUGGAAAAUGGGUUAUUUUUGCCUGUCAUUUUGAGUAGUUAAUCUUGCCCACAUAAUCUAUAGAACGUGUCAUUUCUCUUAAAUUGGUGAUCAUAUCGAUAUCUGGUGGUAGAUCCAUGGUAAAGAGGUCGUAUGAUUUUUUUUCUUUAAGAAAAACAAACAAACAUACAAGAGAGGAUAGUAUAGAACUAGGAUAAUAGUUAUAAAUGCUGGAUGUAGUACUUUAUCACAAAAAUUUUGGAUGUAGAAGCACAUAAUAGAUUGUUAUGAUAAUGGCGAGUUAUCCUGUAACAAAUUCAGUCGUUUAUAAUCAGAACUUGGAGAAGGAAGAAAUGGAAUGAUGAUUUCUUUCACUUACAAAAGGUUAAAAAAAAAAAAUAAGGAAAUGAAUGGCCCUCGGGGCUUAGAGGGUGUUUGACUAAAGCUUAUAAGCACUUUUUAGCUUAUCUACGCAUUUGGUAAACAUCCAAGUGAAAGCCCCCAAGUAAUGGGUUUUUAGCUUAUAAGUAUUUUUGGUUUGACCAAGUAUUUUACUAUUAUAUCCUUAAUGGUUUUCCUAUUUCUCAAAAUAUCUUUCCAAAAAACAAAAUUCCUAACUUCCUCCUCACUCUAUAUUCCCUGUUCCUCCUUUUUUACCAGGAUACUUUUAAAUUUACAUUUUUUUGCAAAAAUGGUUAGGGUAUUUUAGUCAUUCUAACAAACACAUCAACUGCUUAUUAGUAGUUUUAACACUUCUAUCCAAACACGUAACUGCUUAUUUAUAAAAUUAGUUUCAGCACUUAAAAGUACUUUUCAGCACUUAAAGGUUAUCAACUAUUUACAUUCAGCUAAUCCAAACGGGCUCUUAGUACAAGUGGAAGAGGUUGAGGAACUUGUGAUUAAGGUCACAGGUUCGAGUGCUGCGCCAUGUGAACUAAGCCUGCUAUUUAGGUGGAGUAGGGUAAAGGGUGAGCUUAUUAUUCCCGAAUUCCAAAAGUUAUGGUUGGUCCUAACAAUCAACCCUAAGCGGACUUCUUUGUUAUAAAAAAAGUAAAAGAAUGAGAAGUUGCUUCCUAUGGUUAAGGUCUUUUGAGGGUGUGGCUACCCCAUGCAAGUGUGGAUCUAGAGGUUGGAUUUUUCAUCAUAUAAAUUUUAAGAUUCGGGGAUAUGGAUCCAAGUGCAGAUAUGGGUGCUAAGAUAAAUAUGACCUCAGUGUCCGGACCAGGUUGCUCGCAUUUCGACUAAUUCAACGGGAUACCUGCCACCUCCCACCAACAACAGGUAUCAGGUAACCCUGUCCACCAAGGCUAAAAAAGGAAUCACAUAGUUUUUUUGUCUUUCUUUGGGAUUUGAACCUGAGACCUCAUGAUUCUCAACCCACUUCAUUGACCACUAGGCCACACCCUUAGGUGCGGCCAAUAAAUGUAUAUUACGACAUAUAUAAGUGUACAUUCCAUUAAUGAACGUGUUGAACUAAAACUAAUAAAAUUUAAUUAUUUAUAAACACCUAAUAUUUUAUUUAUAAGAUAUCUUGUGUAAUAGCAAAAUAUUCUCAUACUUUAAAUUACUACAUGUACAUGACAUAUACCUAAAUAUUAAACUAAAUACGCAAGGGGAAUCUUAGUAGUUCAGUUGGUUGGCUACCUGAACUUUCAACUUAUCGGUGAGGGUUCGAUACCCCACAUUGUAAUCCCUCCCCCAUUUUUCCUUCCCCUACCCCCAAUUUAAAAAAAAAUAAAAAAAUAAAUAAAUACGCCAUCGAUCAAUACUACUUGAUCAUACAUAUAGUCAAAGCACCCAAAGUAUGUUGGUCAAAUCCGAUGUAGACCCCACACCUACACCCCCACCCAAAUCGAACACUGAUGAGGCAAGGAUAUUGAAGAGUCCAAGCAACAUAGCUUCAAGCUCGAUUGACCUUGGCUUCUUCCACCUCUUGCAGUAUAGCUAUUGAUUCUUCUCAAAGUUUGAUUAUUCUUGGGUUUCUUUUCUAAUUUCUGCAGUUACAUGAAUGUCAGCAUGCUCUUGAGGCUGGAUUGCUCUCAGAUUCGAUCAAAUUGGCAUUUUUCUCGUUGUAGCUUAUUCAGUUC